rnacentral:rRNA from 1 species
CAUGCAAGUCGAACGGGAACCUCUGGAUUCGUCUAGAGGGGAGAGUGGCGGACGGGUGAGUAACACGUAGGUGACCUGCCUUGAAGACGGGGAUAACCACUGGAAACGGUAGCUAAUACCCGAUAGUCUCGAUGACGCAAGUCAUCGAGUAAAGCUCCGGCGCUUCAAGAGGGGCCUGCGGCCCAUCAGCUAGUUGGUAGGGUAAUGGCCUACCAAGGCGAAGACGGGUAGGGGGCGUGAGAGCGCGGCCCCCCACACUGGCACUGCGACACGGGCCAGACUCCUACGGGAGGCAGCAGUGAGGAAUAUUGCCCAAUGGGCGCAAGCUUGAGGCAGCAACGCCGCGUGGGUGAUGAAGGCCUUCGGGUCGUAAAACCCUUUUCUGGGGAAAGAGCAAGGACGUACCCCAG